rnacentral:rRNA from 1 species
CAGCCGCCACGGGAAUACGAAGGGUGCAAGCGUUACUCGGAAUUACUGGGCGUAAAGCGUGCGUAGGUGGUGGUUUAAGUCCGUUGUGAAAGCCCUGGGCUCAACCUGGGAAUUGCAGUGGAUACUGGAUCACUAGAGUGUGGUAGAGGAUAGUGGAAUUUCCGGUGUAGAGGUGAAAUUCGUAGAUAUUGGGAAGAACACCGGUGGCGAAGGCAAUCCCCUGGGCCUGCACUGACGCUCACGCACGAAAGCGGGGGGAGCAAACAGGAUUAGAUACCCGUGUAGUCCCUGUCUCUUAUAC